GGGCCCGCACAAGCAGUGGAGUAUGUGGUUUAAUUCGAAGCAACGCGAAGAACCUUACCAGGUCUUGACAUCGUGCGCAUACCAUAGAGAUAUGGGAAGCCCUUCGGGGCGCAUAGACAGGUGGUGCAUGGUUGUCGUCAGCUCGUGUCGUGAGAUGUUGGGUUAAGUCCCGCAACGAGCGCAACCCUUGUUAUUAGUUGCUACGCAAGAGCACUCUAAUGAGACUGCCGUUGACAAAACGGAGGAAGGUGGGGAUGACGUCAAAUCAUCAUGCCCCUUAUGACCUGGGCUACACACGUACUACAAUGGCGAUCAACAGAGGGAUGCAAUAUGGCAACAUGGAGCAAAACCCUAAAAGUCGUCUCAGUUCAGAUUGCAGGCUGCAACUCGCCUGUAUGAAGUCGGAAUUGCUAGUAAUCGCGGAUCAGCAUGCCGCGGUGAAUACGUUCCCGGGCCUU
rnacentral:rRNA from 1 species